GCGGAGUUCUCGUGAAUAACCACCAUCCCGCUCAUCGCAAAGUUCAUGUCGCAGCUGGACCACUGUUCUGACAAGUUGGCUCGAGUGCUGCUUAGAAAGGAGGAGCAGCAGGAUGCAAAAUCACAACCAUUAUGGCUGUUAUUGACCAGAAUGACUCCAUUGAAACAAGGAGAGCCUGCUGCCUCAAAGCACUAGCUUUGUAUCUCAAUGAAGACCCUGAGAAGUGAAGGAAUACACAAGUGAGAGGCCUGAUGACAUCCAGACAGAUCUGGAUCAGACAGUCAUCGGCGUCUAUGUGAUGCAUCAUCCGGGUCCAGUGUUGAUGGUCUUCCAGACGAUGUGGGCAUCAUAGUUGAAGGUGUGCAGCUGCUGUCCGGACUCAAAGAUGUCGCCACUGCUUGUGCCUUACUGUUCGGUAUCAUCUACGACCUCAACCUGAAAUAUCCACCUGACCUCAGGUACAUGUUUGAAUUUAUUCAAAAGAUCCUGAUGGAACUGGAUACACACAGGCUUUCAGCCAAAAUCCAGGUUCUCAAAAACAAACUACUGGAAUGAAUGCAUGCCACUGGAGCAGUUUCGUGACCUGGUGUGCUGAAAUGUUUUUGUUGUUGGAUGACGUGAACAGCCGUUUUGACUGUUAAUAUUUUUUUGUCAUUUUUUUCACUGUUAAUGUGCCUGAGACGGAGAAGUUCUAAAUGACUUUAAAGCGGUGAUUUCAAACUGUUCACCAUGGACCGAAUGCUCUCUCAUAAUUAUGUUGGUUUGGCUCAUGGUCUCUUCAUGUUGUCACGAUAUUUCAGUGAUUAUGUCAAAUUUCUAAUGGCACUUUGUUAAAAUCGAACAUGUAAUCGUCAUACGUGUGCAUGUUACAAGCAGUUUUAAGCUGUUUUUAUGUAACACACUGCUUUGAGUGGUUAAAAGCCGUUUGGAGAAAAUGUUAGUUUUGUGACCGAGAGGCAAUAAAGUGCACUGAAGUUUUUUUGUUUUACUACUUAAACUGCAAUUUUGACUUGAUAUAUUUUUGUACUUAUUUUACUGUCAAUGUGGCUGAAAGGGAGAAGUUCUAAAUGACUCUCAAGUAGUGGUUUCCAACUGUUAUCCAUGGGCCAAAUGCUCAGUAGUGAUAUUGUUGGUUUGGCUGACAGACUUUUUAUGCUAUAUUUCAGAGUUUGUCAAAUUUCUAAUGGCACUUCCUUAAAAUCCAACAUGUAAUCUUCAUACUUGUGCAAGUUACAAGCAAUUUUCUGCUGUUUUUAUAUAAUACACUGCUUGGAGUGGUUAAUAAAGUGCUGUUUGGAGGAAAUGUUAGUUUUGUGACCUGGAGGCUAUUGCACUGAAAUGCUUUUAUUUGACUACUUGAACUGCAGUUUUGACUGUGAAUAUAUUUAGUAAUUUCUUACUGUUAGUGUGCCUGAAAGGGAGAAGUUCCAAAUGACUCUGAAACAGGGACCAAAUGCUCUGGCGUGAUAUUGUUAGUUUGGCUCAGACUGUUUAUGUUGUCAUAUUUCAGUGAUUGUCAAAUUUCUAAUGGCACAUUGUUAAAAUAAGUGAACAAGCUUUUUCUGUGUAACACUUUGAGUGAUUAA